GACGGGGUUUCACCAUGUUGGCUGAGCUGAUCUUGAACUCCUGACCUCAAAUGGUCCACCUGCCUCGGCCUCUUAAAGUGCUGGGAUUACAGACAUGAGCCACCACGCCUGGCUACAUUAUCUCAUUUAAACCCUAGUACUACUCCCAUGAAAUAGGUACUACUAUUUCCUCUAUGUUCAAGAUGCAACACUAGGCUUAGAUAAGAUUUAUGAGUAACUUGCCUAAAGUCAUUGCUAAGUGGUGGAACCAGGGUUCUAACUCAAGUCUGUAUGGUUCCAACACCUGCACUCAACCAAGACAGCAGCCUGAUUUUACUAUUACACAGAAAACUGACUGCCUAACAUUUUCCAGUUAUGGUUAUAUUAAUCCCUUCAUAUUGUUUUUAUUUUUCUUUAUCCAGCUCGAGUCAAGAAGCCAAACAUUUGUGGCUUCUUAGAUAGUUUUCCCAGCUUCAGUGUGAAGUUUGUGACAAUGAAAGUAAAUGAUGUCAAAUGACCUUAUUUACACUGAUAAUUCAACUCAAUAAGUGUUUACUGAGGCCUCCCAUGUGCAAAGCAGAGUGGCAGGUAUCUGGAACCACUGUACCAAUCACGUGGUGACACCCAAAUGUGGAGCUAUGAAGAACUGCAGCCCAACCCUCAAAAAUAACACCAAGCAAAUUCUCUCUUAAUUCUAAUUCUUAUGUUGAGUCAAAGACAGUUGACAAUGAGAAAAAAACAGCCUUAUGUUCGUGGUGGUGGUGGCUGAGCAUAUGAUGAUGGAGAGAAGGGGGUAGAAAUCCAGAAACAUUAGCCCUAGGGAUACCUUUUUUCUUUCUUAACCUGGAAAAUUUCUCAAUUAGAUUUCCAGCUCAAUUUAAACUUGCCAAUAUAGAACAGCCCUUUCAACAACUUCUAAUCCCAAUAUGUUCCUAGGAGCAUUCCCUCUUCUAAGGAUUGCUAUAAUGACUUUAAGGAUGGUAGUGUUCUAUGGAAAAAAGAAAAGCUCUGGGCAACCCUCCCACUAUAAUGACAAAAUCUACUUACUAGUUAUAAAUUCUGUAUUGUAUACUCAUUGCUUUCCAACAUAAUACAAAAGUGAAGGAAGAUGAAGUCUUUCUGGAUUUGAGCUUUCUCUGAUUAGAAAAGCCUUAUAUGGCUUGUCUCUAACUAUGAUGAUUCACUUAUAGGAUAAAAGUUGGUCAAGUAUAUUCAUCUUACUCUUUAACCUUUCCUGUGUGUCCCUGAACAUCUAAGAUCAUAGAAUUUCCUCUUUAGUCAGCCUUCAUUCAGCCAGUAUUUUUCCAGUGCCUACUAUGUACAAGUUCUGUGCCAAGUUCUGAGAAUUCAAGAAACUAGCCUGAUAGGGUGUUCUCCCACAUCUUAGAAUCUGGUAUAGAACAUGACUGAAUAAUACCAGUCAGACUCUAAUUUAUUACUAUGGGAACAACAUUCUAAGUGUUUGUCAUAACCGCUUUCCUCUUAUAAGCAAGACCAUCCUUUACAUCCAUGGCCCUGCUAGUUGGCCACAGACAACCAGACCAUGGCUAGGUCCCUGAUCUCAAGGCAACAACAGAAGCCCAGUCAUUUCACUAUGAGCUGGGGCUCCACAUUGGAGAGUGGCCUAUCUAAUCACAGUUUUUCUCUUUGGGCGUUUGAAUGAGAUAGAUGCAAUCCCCACACAGUGUGAUGGCAUGAAAAAGAAACAGUAUACAAAGAGAGAAUCACCUUUGAUGAAACAUACUCUGGCAUAAGAUGAGCCAGCAUGUGGCACCUGGCAUUUCAUUAAACAAUUGCACUGACUUAGAGGAUGCCCAGGAACCCAGACCACUACAUACACCAAAUCUCUUUUCUGAAAAUCCAUGGAGAAAUUUUUCCAGAAUACCCACUUGGAAAAGAGAAGAAGUACAUACCCCUUCAUCUUAGGUCAUGUCUUUUUCUGAGGUCCUAUUUCAGUAGUACAGAUGCCUCUGAGCUGAAGAGAGGUAAAGAAAAGAACAUGCUGUCUCGCACACAAAAUCUUUGAUUGACCACCAGCCACUUCCCAGUAUCUGGAGAAAUUCUGGCCUCACGAACUGUCCGCAAAAUAAGGAAACAGGUACAAUGGCUACUUGACUAGUGUUCUUUACGCAUGGGCCAGGUGGAGACGGAGUGAGGCGCGGGAGAACCCAGGACCUUGGUGCCUGGCCCACCUUCCCUCCAUUACACUUAGGCCCGCUCUGCAGAUAAGAGCUCACAUUGGUUGUGGAUGAAGCCGAAUCUAAAAGGCCUGGAAAUACCAUGCUGCAUUCGUUCUCAUUCUUCCAUCUAGACCUGCAGCCCCUUUUCUGUCUCUACAGCCUACCCGGGUUUACCUGGGACUAGAGUUUCACCUUCAUUCCAUCAGAAAUUAAAUUUCUCAUAUGCCCUUAGGAAAAACUCUGUUGAAAAGCAGUCCCCAGAAACAGGUAUCUGAAGUGAACAGAGCCCCAGAGGCUGCUUACAACCCCAGAUAGGGGGAGGAGGAGAAUCACUAGCAAAACGGCAUUUCAGCAAACAACCACCAAGUGUGAAAAUCCAAAAAUUGUACAAAGCGAGAGCACUUUUUUCUGAGAGACAGAAUGUUUUUCUAAAAGUCUGUAUAAACUCUUGAGAAGUUAAAUCUAACUGGAUGCCAAGAAUUAACAACAACAAAAAAGACAUUUUCUUAAGUUUCCAAAGACCACAGUCUCUCUCUGAGCCCAAGUGACUAAUGCCUGUAACAGCCGAACAUUACAAAAUGCUGACCAGCAGAAAGUCUGUUUGGGAAUGACAAGGUCCACGUGUGCAUUCCAGGGACGCUUACAGAUUCUGCAGUACUCCAAGGAAGACAGGGUGGGUGGGAAGCAAUGUGACAAACAGGCAAGAAGUAUUUAUAAAGGCACGACCCGAUUAGAAACAGAUGUUGCAGCUGCUCUCUCGCACUGGCCCACAUCAGAGAUGAUGAGAAGCCCUUCACCCAGCAGCCACCUAGGAACACUAAUGAGCAAAGCAAGUGGGGAAGUGGGGAAGAGGUCACAAACCAUUUCAAAACCCUCUCGCUGUCCAAUGGGUCCCAAACAACCCAGUUCCAUUUAAGACAUAUCAUGUCUCUUGCAGAGCAUAAAACCACCCACUUGUCUCACUGUUGUUUAUUUGGGUCAUUUUUGUCCCUCCUGCCCUGUCUUUAUCCUAUGGAAUAUCUUCAAAACAGUGAUGAAUAGGAGGUCAAAGAGAAUUAAGAGGCUCAAAGCAGUUGGAAGUUUUUUUCUCAACUUUUUAUGUCCUGUGCUACUCAUAUUCACACAUCUAUUCCUCAGUAUUUCCUGUUUGAGAAAUAUUGUGGCUCAGUUCAUCUAUUUCUAUUCACUGAAUGCAUUCAUCAGCAAAUAAUGAAAUAUGGAUGGGACGCUUCCUGCCCGAUGCCACCAUUUCUAUCACCGGAUAUAAAUUAGCCACUUCCUUUCUGAAAGAUACCAUAUAUUUCUGUGCCUUUCUGAAAAGGCAGGGGAUUUUCAGUUACAGUAAUGGCCAUGUGAUGGCAGUCUCUGUGAGAGAAGAAAAAAAAAAAAAUCCAAUCCAGUUCCAAGCAAGUCAUGAACAAAAGCACCAGGGCUGUUUCCCCCAGUCACAACCUGGCUGCUUUCUCCUCCCAAAGCAUGUUCAGUUCCUAAUCCAGGCUGACCUAGAACAUCUGAGUCCAGUGACACAUUUCCAGCACCCGAAAAUUGAGGAAUUAUACCAGAAAUGACCAAAACCAUGAUACAUAUUGAGGAAAUAAACAUACCAAUCAACAUCUGGUCUUUCUCUACAAAUAUUACUAAACAAUUAUGGCCAAAAUCCUC